rnacentral:rRNA from 1 species
UACGGAGGGGGCUAGCGUUGUUCGGAAUUACUGGGCGUAAAGCGCACGUAGGCGGCUUUGCAAGUUAGAGGUGAAAGCCCGGGGCUCAACUCCGGAAUUGCCUUUAAAACUGCAUCGCUAGAAUUGUGGAGAGGUAAGUGGAAUUCCGAGUGUAGAGGUGAAAUUCGUAGAUAUUCGGAAGAACACCAGUGGCGAAGGCGGCUAUCUGGACGACAACUGACGCUGAGGCGCGAAAGCACGGGGAUCAAACAGG